AGAGUUUGAUCCUGGCUCAGGAUGAACGCUGGCGGCGUGCUUAACACAUGCAAGUCGAACGAAGCACUUUACCGGAUUUCUUCGGAAUGAAAGUUUUGUGACUGAGUGGCGGACGGGUGAGUAACGCGUGGGUAACCUGCCUCAUACAGGGGGAUAACAGUUAGAAAUGACUGCUAAUACCGCAUAAGACCACAGGACCGCAUGGUCCAGUGGUAAAAACUCCGGUGGUAUGAGAUGGACCCGCGUCUGAUUAGCUAGUUGGUAAGGUAACGGCUUACCAAGGCGACGAUCAGUAGCCGACCUGAGAGGGUGACCGGCCACAUUGGGACUGAGACACGGCCCAAACUCCUACGGGAGGCAGCAGUGGGGAAUAUUGCACAAUGGGGGAAACCCUGAUGCAGCGACGCCGCGUGAGCGAUGAAGUAUUUCGGUAUGUAAAGCUCUAUCAGCAGGGAAGAAUUAGGACGGUACCUGACUAAGAAGCACCGGCUAAAUACGUGCCAGCAGCCGCGGUAAUACGUAGGGGGCAAGCGUUAUCCGGAUUUACUGGGUGUAAAGGGAGCGUAGACGGCGCAGCAAGUCUGAUGUGAAAGGCAGGGGCUUAACCCCUGGACUGCAUUGGAAACUGCUGUGCUUGAGUGCCGGAGGGGUAAGCGGAAUUCCUAGUGUAGCGGUGAAAUGCGUAGAUAUUAGGAGGAACACCAGUGGCGAAGGCGGCUUACUGGACGGUAACUGACGUUGAGGCUCGAAAGCGUGGGGAGCAAACAGGAUUAGAUACCCUGGUAGUCCACGCCGUAAACGAUGAA
rnacentral:rRNA from 1 species